UACGUAGGUGGCAAGCGUUGUUCGGAAUUAUUGGGCGUAAAGGGUGAGUAGGCGGUUUGUUAAGUCGGUCGUGAAAGCCCGGGGCUCAACCCCGGAGGGUCGACCGAUACUGGCAGGCUAGAGUACAGAAGAGGUAACUGGAAUUCCCGGUGUAGCGGUGAAAUGCGUAGAUAUCGGGAAGGAACACCAGAGGCGAAGGCAGCUCGCUGGGACGUUACUGACGCUGAGACGCGAAAGCGUGGGAGCAACAG
rnacentral:rRNA from 1 species